GACGAACGCUGGCGGCGUGCUUAACACAUGCAAGUCGAACGGAAAGGCCCUUCGGGGUACUCGUGUGGCGAACGGGUGCGUAACACGUGGGUGAUCUGCCCUGCACUUUGGGAUAAGCCUGGGAUACUGGGUCUAAUACUGAAUCGGACUACGCGCUUCUUGGUGUGUGGUGGAAAGCUUUUGCGGUGUGGGAUGGGCCCGCGGCCUAUCAGCUUGUUGGUGGGGUAAUGGCCUACCAAGGCGAAGACGGGUAGCCGGCCUGAGAGGGUGACCGGCCACACUGGGACUGAGAUACGGCCCAGACUCCUACGGGAGGCAGCAGUGGGGAAUAUUGCACAAUGGGCGCAAGCCUGAUGCAGCGACGCCGCGUGAGGGAUGACGGCCUUCGGGUUGUAAACCGCUUUCGAUAGGGACGAAGCGCAAGUGACGGUACCUAUAGAAGAAGCACCGGCCAACUACGUG
rnacentral:rRNA from 1 species